rnacentral:tRNA from 1 species
UCCCUGGUGGUCCAGUGGCUAAGGCUCCAUGCUCCCAAGGUGGGGGGCUCAGGUUCGAUCCCUGGCCAGGGAA